rnacentral:rRNA from 1 species
AUUGAACGCUGGCGGUAGGCCUAACACAUGCAAGUCGAACGAGUGGCGGACGGGUGAGUAAUUUCUGGGAAACUGGCUGAUGGAGGGGGAUGACUAGUGGAAACGGUAGCUAAUACCGCAUAACAUCAGAUGUGCCCACAUGGGAUUAGCUUGUUGGUGGGGUAACGGCUGACCAAGGCGACGCGCCCUAGCUGGUCUGAGAGGGUGACCGGCCACACUGGGACUGAGGCACGGUCCAGUCUCCUACGGGGUGCAGCAGUGGGGAAUAUUGCACAAUGGGCGCAAGACUGAUGCAGCCAUGCCGCGUGUAUGAAGAAGGCUUUCGGGUUGUAAAGUACUUUUAGCGGGGAGGCGUUACCCGCAGAAGAAGCACCGGCUAACUACGUGCCAGCAGCCGCGGUAAUUC